CAGAGGGGGCAAGCGUUGUUCGGAAUUACUGGGCGUAAAGGGCGCGUAGGCGGCCGCCUAAGUCAGACGUGAAAUCCCUCGGCUCAACCGGGGAACUGCGUCUGAUACUGGGUGGCUUGAAUCCGGGAGAGGGAUGCGGAAUUCCAGGUGUAGCGGUGAAAUGCGUAGAUAUCUGGAGGAACACCGGUGGCGAAGGCGGCAUCCUGGACCGGUAUUGACGCUGAGGCGCGAAAGCCAGGGGAGCAAACGGGAUUAGAUACCCCGGUAGUCCUGGCCCUAAACGAUGAGUGCUUGGUGUGGCGGGUAUCGAUCCCUGCCGUGCCGAAGCUAACGCAUUAAGCACUCCGCCUGGGGAGUACGGUCGCAAGGCUG
rnacentral:rRNA from 1 species